rnacentral:rRNA from 1 species
UAAGGUGAAACCGCGAAAGGCUCAUUAAAUCAGUUAUGGUUCCUUAGAUCGUACCCACAAUUACUUGGAUAACUGUGGUAAUUCUAGAGCUAAUACAUGCAAACAGAGCUCCGACCGGAGACGGAAGGAGUGCUUUUAUUAGAUCAAAACCAAUCGGUGGCGGGUUCGCCCGUUAUCGUAUAACUUGGUGACUCUGAAUAACUUUACGCUGAUCGCACGGUCAUCGCACCGGCGACGCAUCUUUCAAAUGUCUGCCUUAUCAACUGUCGAUGGUAGGUUCUGCGCCUACCAUGGUUGUAACGGGUAACGGGGAAUCAGGGUUCGAUUCCGGAGAGGGAGCCUGAGAAACGGCUACCACAUCCAAGGAAGGCAGCAGGCGCGCAAAUUACCCACUCCCGGCACGGGGAGGUAGUGACGAAAAAUAACGAUACGGGACUCAUCCGAGGCCCCGUAAUCGGAAUGAGUACACUCUAAACCCUUUAACGAGGAUCAAUUGGAGGGCAAGUCUGGUGCC